rnacentral:rRNA from 1 species
GCAACUCGACUCCAUGAAGCUGGAUUCGCUAGUAAUCGCGCAUCAGCCAUGGCGCGGUGAAUACGUUCCCGGGCCUUGUACACACCGCCCGUCACACCAUGAGAGUUGGGAAUACCCGAAGCCUGUGAGCUAACGUUAAGAGGCAGCAGUCGAAGGUAGAAUCAAUGAUUGGGGUGAAGUCGUAACAAGGUAUC